rnacentral:rRNA from 1 species
AGAGUUUGAUCAUGGCUCAGAUUGAACGCUGCGGCUGCCUUACACAUGCAAGUCGAGCGGCAGCGGNGGCCCCUGGCGGCGAGCGGCGAACGGGUGAGUAAUGCAUCGGAACGUGUCCUCUUGUGGGGGAUAACCGCNAGACUGGCUAAUACCGCAUGAGAUCGAGAGAUGAAAGCAGGGGACCGCAAGGCUUGCGCGAGGAGCGGCCGAUGCCGAUUAGCUAGUUGGUGGGGAAAAGCCUACNNNGCGACUCCGUAGCUGGCUGAGAGGACGACCAGCCACACUGNNNCUGAACNNGGCCCAGACUCCUACGGGAGGCAGCAGUGGGGAAUUUUGGACAAUGGGGGCAACCCUGAUCCAGCCAUGCCGCGUGAGUGAAGAAGGCCUUCGGGUUGUAAAGCUCUUUCGGACGGGACGAAAUGGUUAUGGUGAAUAUCCAUGACUGAUGACGGUACCGUAAUAAGAAGCACCGGCUAACUACGUGCCAGCAGCCGCGGUAAUACGUAGGGUGCGAGCGUUAAUCGGAAUUACUGGGCGUAAAGCGUGCGCAGGCGGUUCGCCAAGUCAGGUGUGAAAUCCCCGGGCUUAACCUGGGAAUUGCGCUUGAAACUAGCGAGCUUGAGUGUGGCAGAGGGGGGUGGAAUUCCACGUAGCAGUGAAAUGCGUAGAGAUGUGGAGGAACACCGAUGGCGAAGGCAGCCCCCUGGGUCAACACUGACGCUCAUGCACGAAAGCGUGGGGAGCAAACAGGAUUAGAUACCCUAGUAGUCC